UGACCGUCUUUUGAGGUUUUUGCAGCGUUUAGUGAUCAGCAAGGAAGAAAUGUUUGUUGAAAUGGAAGUUACAAAGCCACAACACGACAGUCUAUUAAGGUUUUUGCAGCGUUUAGUGAUCAGCAAGGAAGAAAUGUUUGUUGAAAUGGAACUUACAAAGCCACAACAUGACAGUCUAUUAAGGUUUUUGCAGCGUUUAGUGAUCAGCAAGGAAGAAAUGUUUGUUGAAAUGGAAGUUACAAAGCCACAACAUGACAGUCUAUUAAGGUUUUUGCAGCGUUUAGUGAUCAGCAAGGAAGAAAUGUUUGUUGAAAUGGAAGUUACAAAGCCACUACAUGACAGUCCAUUAAGGUUUUUGCAGCGUUUAAUGAUCAGCAAGGAAGAAAUGUUUGUUGAAAUGGAAGUUACAAAGCCACAACAUGACAGUCUAUUAAGGUUUUUGCAGCGUUUAGUGAUCAGCAAGGAAGAAAUGUUUGUUGAAAUGGAAGUUACAAAGCCACUACAUGACAGUCUAUUAAGGUUUUUGCAGCGUUUAGUGAUCAGCAAGGAAGAAAUGUUUGUUGAAAUGGAAGUUACAAAGCCACAACAUGACAGUCUAUUAAGGUUUUUGCAGCGUUUAAUGAUCGGCAAGGAAGAAAUGUUUGUUGAAAUGGAAGUUACAAAGCCACUACAUGACAGUCUAUUAAGGUUUUUGCAGCGUUUAGUGAUCAGCAAGGAAGAAAUGUUUGUUGAAAUGGAAGUUACAAAGCCACUACAUGACAGUCCAUUAAGGUUUCUGCAGCGUUUAAUGAUCAGCAAGGAAGAAAU